rnacentral:rRNA from 1 species
GAUGAACGCUGGCGGCGUGCCUAAUACAUGCAAGUCGAGCGAAUGGAUUAAGAGCUUGCUCUUAUGAAGUUAGCGGCGGACGGGUGAGUAACACGUGGGUAACCUGCCCAUAAGACUGGGAUAACUCCGGGAAACCGGGGCUAAUACCGGAUAACAUUUUGAACCGCAUGGUUCGAAAUUGAAAGGCGGCUUCGGCUGUCACUUAUGGAUGGACCCGCGUUGCAUUAGCUAGUUGGGGAGGUAACGGCUCACCAAGGCAACGAUGCGUAGCCGACCUGAGAGGGUGAUCGGCCACACUGGGACUGAGACACGGCCCAGACUCCUACGGGAGGCAGCAGUAGGGAAUCUUCCGCAAUGGACGAAAGUCUGACGGAGCAACGCCGCGUGAGUGAUGAAGGCUUUCGGGUCGUAAAACUCUGUUGUUAGGGAAGAACAAGUGCUAGUUGAAUAAGCUGGCACCUUGACGGUACCUAAUCAGAAAGCCACGGCUAACUACGUGCCAGCAGCCGCGGUAA